rnacentral:rRNA from 1 species
UACGUAGGGGGCUAGCGUUGUCCGGAAUCAUUGGGCGUAAAGCGCGCGUAGGCGGCCCGGUAAGUCCGCUGUAAAAGUCCAGGGCUCAACCCUGGAACGCCGGUGGAUACUGUCGGGCUAGAGUCCGGAAGAGGCGGAGUGGAAUUCCUGGGUGUAGCGGUGGAAUGCGCAGAUAUCAGGAGGAACACCGAUGGCGAAGGCAGCUCCGCUGGGACGGUAAGCUGACGCUGAGGCGCGAAAGCGUGGGGAGCGAACAG